rnacentral:rRNA from 1 species
UACGUAGGGGGCUAGCGUUGUCCGGAAUCAUUGGGCGUAAAGCGCGUGUAGGCGGUUCGGUAAGUCCGCUGUGAAAGUCGGGGGCUCAACCCUCGGAUGCCGGUGGAUACUGUCGGACUAGAGUGCGGAAGAGGCGAGUGGAAUUCCUGGUGUAGCGGUGAAAUGCGCAGAUAUCAGGAGGAACACCAAUGGCGAAGGCAGCACUCUGGGACGUGACUGACGCUGAGACGCGAAAGCGUGGGGAGCAAACAGG